GUCUGUUUGUGGUCAUUUUGAUGCUAACAUGCUAACACCAACAUAUAGGCCUGUUAGGGAGCCAACAUGUUCUCUUUACAGACAUGUCUAUAGCCUGUAUUUGUUUACAUUUAAUUAACAGCAGCCGAACCAGCAGUCAGCAGCUCCUGUCUGCAGUGGACCCGUGGACGGACAGACAGCUGUCUCUGGAUCACUGUGAGACUGAAGGAAACUUAGAAACAGCAGGAUUCUCAGGCAGGUUCUGCAGCCGCUUUCUUCUCUGGCGUCUCAGCUGGUUUCUGGAGGUUUAUUCUGGACGGACGUCAGAGACGAUGACGUCCUCUGGAAGUGCGAGUCGCGCUGAACGAUUCGAUACUUUCGCUCUGCCAGUGACUACCGCCUCAGCCUGCCCUUCAGAUCACCCGGGCCUCAGCUACCUCGCCACUUUCGCCAUCCAGCCGAUCUUCGCCUCCGGACACUGCCGGCCAUCCACACCACGCGCCUGGCUCCAGUGAUCCUCCGCCUGGUCGGCUCAGUCUUCCCGCUUCUACGCUCGGCAGCCCGGAGCCUGCUCACCUCGUCUCCGUCCGGAGUGCCGUCAGUCACGCCUCCACCUCGGCUCUGCCGGAUCCUCGGAGAGGCCACGGGUGACGCCGGACUUAGUAUUCAUCAGUGUCAAUAAUAAUCUGCACAAUAAAAACCGUCACGUUCAUCCAGCCGUUUACUAGGAGUUCCUGCAUUUGGGUCCUAGAAAAUAGUCUGUUCUUGACAGUUGCUGUGCUUGAUGAAGGUUGCUCUCCUCGCCCUGAUCUCAUUCUCUCUGUAGACGGCUCAGCAUCACGCAAUCCUGUCACUGGACGAAAUCGAGUGGGUUUUGCUGUUGUCACACAACAUGAGGUGUUGAAAUCUGACUCCUUACCUUCUCAUUACUCAGCACAAGCUGCAGAGCUAGUUGCACUUACUGAAGCAUGCAGAUUGGCUGAGAAUAAAACUGUUAGAGUUUGGACAGACUCCAAGUAUGCAUUUUCUGUUUGCCGUGAUUAUGGAGCUCUGUAGAAACAGAACAUUUCUUAAAUCUGGUGGCAGCCCUAUCCUUCACCACGACAAAGGGGCAGCAUUGUUAGAUGCUAUUCGCUUACCACAAGCUGUAUGGAAAUGCCGAGCUCACACUAACCAUGCUGACUCAGUUUCUACAGGACAUCCUAACCCAUCGUUUAGAUAACAAGAAUUAAUGUUUAAAGUAUUUCUCAAUUUCUAACCUCUACUGUCCUCAUAUCUGCCGCUCAUUUUCGGAAGGACUGCAAACUCUGCCCCUCUGAUAACAGAGUCAGUCGCACCAGAAUCCACAAGAAAAACAAUAUCUCCACAUCGAUUGUGUUCAGGCAUGCGUUUGUAUGCAUCGUGUGUAUAUUCGGUGUAUAUCUCUGCUGGCGCUGUGUCAUCAGUGGCUUGUGUGUGCUCAAGGUAAGAGAUAGCCGCACUUAUCAAUGUCUGAGUGUGUGGUGGUGUCUCACAUGCUUGUGCAGGAGUGUGUAUCAGUGUGUGUUCACAUGCUCUGUUGUGUCAGCGUGGGUGCUCUUACGUAACUGAAGAAUGCAAUUCAAGCCGGCCCCUUCCCGACCUGGCGUCGACACCCCGUCUAGUCAGUCAGCCUGACCGUGAUUCUCGGGGCAAUCCUUUGCCCAAUGUCCCAUUUUACAUUUGAAACAAGCGUCUCUUCCUCCUCGUCCUCGUCGGCCUUGGCCACGGCCUCUGUUCUGAUUCUCGUACGCCCUCAGCUGCGCCAUCUGUAAUCUGUCCGCCAGCUGCGUACUUUUCCUCUUUUGCUUGUCUUUGAGGAAUUUUUCUGCAUGGAGAGCGUGUCUCUCUACGGUCUCCAGGUUACCAAACUCCCAGGUCACACAGUCGCGUUUCACCGUGUCCGCGAUCUCAGGGUGGAUGCCAUUGAUGAAACGGUCACGUAGCUGUACUUCCUAGUGGGUGAUCGUGUUAUUACUCUCCUCACAGAUGCAGGAGCAUCAGCCUCGCUCACAGCAACGCAACAGUUUUCUACUGCAGAAGAAAGACAUCUUUGGAAGAAAAAUGUCUGUACAUUUAAGAUUGAAGAUUUUAGAUUGGUUUGGCCCCAAUGAUAAACCUUGCCUACCAAAACAUUUCUUUGCCCAUUUUGCCAAGUUGACUCAUGGAUUAGCCCACGUGUCACAAGGAGGGAUGUUUGAUCUCAUUCAGCAACAUUGGUUCACAAAAGGCUGCGCAGCCUAUGCUCAAAAAUGUUGCCAGUCCUGUCUCGUGUGUGAAUCUCACAACACCGGCAGAGGCAUAAAACAGGUUCAAGCUGCACUUCCACAACCAGAUAAACCAUUUGAUCAUGUGAUGAUUGAUUUCAUUGAACUAACUCCCAGCGAAGGCAAAAGAUAUUGCCUUGUAAUGGUCGACAUGUUUUCCAAGUGGGUGGAAGCGCUGCAGCAUUAUUAACAGAUGCCAAUACCUGACUACUUGGACGGUGACUGCAAAGAGGACUCUGACGAACAUGAAUAAAUAUUAGUGUUUUUAAUGAUCCUUCCAGCUUGCUAAUUAUCAGGGAACGUCUUUGUUCUAUUUGAAUUUCACAUUCCACGUUAAUGAUAUUAGAUUCCAAGUCUGAUGUUAGUGUUCUGUUGUGCAUACUUUUUGUGAUCAAUGACUGAUCAAAAGGGAGAAGUGUAAUGGAAAAAUAUUUAACCGCGACAUACAGCAUUACUGGACAAUGUGGCUUAGCAAGACGUCAGAGUUGAUAAUCAGAAGGAACAUUGAGCCAAAGGAUUCUGGACGGCCCACACCUGCGACACUUUUUUGAUGCAAGUGAAGCAGGAUCUGACACCGUCAGUUACGUGAGGAUGGAGAAUAACGUCGCCUUCCUGCUCGGCGAAGCAGGAGUUACGCCGCUGAAGCAGGUCACCGUUCCACGCCUGGAGCUUUCAGCUGCAGUUCCUGCUGUCCGUGUGGACAGUCUUUGGGACAGAUAGCACCUGGUGCUGAAGUACUAAAGUAAUGAGAACAGUCGCUUUAAUACCUUUGUGUCAAACAGGGUUUCAACCAUCAGAGACACUACAAAUGUGUCACAAUAGAGGUAUGUCAAUACUGAAGACAAUCCGGCAGACGAUGCGUCCAGAGGUAUGAAAGUUGAUGACCUACUGAUUGGCAGAUGGAUAAAAGGGCCCAACUUUCUUGGGAAGCCAGAGAAGUAUUGGCCAGAAAAAACUGUGGAGAUCACAUUUCAUUGGAUGACCCAGAAGUCAAGAAAGACUGAACUGCGAAUGCUGUAAUUGUCCAGGACUCGCCUAAUGCUUUUGACCAACUGAUCACUUCUCCGACUGGAGGAGGCUCAAGGCUGCAGUUGCCUGCUUCCUCAAGGCAAAGAGGAUGCGAAUAACCCAUCCACUCAUAUGCAGUGGGAGAUGAAGAAGGUCAGAGUGUCUCAUCAGAUGACCUUUUGGAGGCAGAAAUGUUCAUCAUUCGCUACACUCAGCAGCAGCGGUUCACGGAGGAAACCCAUCUGGAAAGUCUGCAGUCAGAAAGGAAAGCACACAACUAAGGAGGAAGUACCGGAUUACAAAUGCUAAUUCAGCCAUAAGGAAAACCAUGUCUGACUGCUGUACUUGUAGACGCUACACUGUAAGAGCAGGUGAGCAAUAAAUGGCGGACCUGCCAGAGGAAAGGAUUUCGCCUGAUGUCCAUUUACGAGUGUUGGAGUUGACUAGAGAGGGAGAGGCCUGUGUAAUUAUGGAGUGAUUUUACCGAGAGGUGGCGAACUCACCGGACACCCACGCAUGCAUUAAUGCUCUGCGACGAUUUAUGAGCAGAGGAGGCCACGUUUCUCACAUGCGAUCUGACAAUGGCACCAAGUUAGUUGGCGCAGAAAGAGAACUAAGGGAUUAAAUCACAGCUAAAUACAGGGAGCACCACUUCAGCAUCACACUGCGGUGGUGUCCGAAGGUGCUCAGCUCCACUCUGCGUCAGCAGACACUGGGCGAUGAUGGAUUUCAUACAGUUCUCUGUGAAGCCGAGGCCAUCACUGAGCCGUCUGAGGAUCCCAGUGAUGCCGGACCUCAUGAGAGCCUGAUCUGUAUGUGAAAGAAGGUGGAGACCUGUCCCGUUUAUCUCAGACGUAUUCUGGAAACAACGGGUACAGGAGUACCGUCCCGAGCUUCAGGAAAUCUGCAAUCUCUUUCUACAACCGCCGACCUUCCGGUUAGCGGACGACCCGCUCCACCUCUAAGCCACAGCCGCCCAACAAACAAAAGCUCCUUCGUUUAGUUUCUGUGCUCCACAUAUCUGGAACAAACUCCAGAUCUUUUAAAUCGAGGCUGAAGACUUUUGUGUUUGCCGCUUUUAUUAAAUCAGAUCAUGAUUCAUUUCUCACACUGCGCUGUAACUGUGACUCUCCUGUCUUAACGUUUUAUCUUCUAUUUAACUCGUGUUUUAAAUGUCUUUUUUAUUUACAUGUUGCUUUUGUGUAAAGCACUUUGAAUUGCCUUGUUGUUGAAAUGUGCCACAAAUAAACUUGCCUUGCCUCCUGUUAGGUUGAUGCCAUCUCUUAUGUUGUGACAGUGAAGCAGUGGUGAUGUCAGGUGUGCGUAAACUCGCUGUUGACGCGUUCAGGUGACGCACCGUAUUUUUCCCGUGAUGAUUCAACACUGAACAACAAAUCCAUGUUGAAAUCAUAGAAAUAAACUAAAGAAACCUGUUUGUUACCGUCUGCACACAGACUGUGUCUCUCCAGCACCAAACGGGAAGCAGCAAACCGGGUAGCUACUAUGGUAACGGGCGAAAAAACUCCUCAAAUACCGUCUCUCACACGCACAACUAACAGCGUUAAGAGUCUGUGUUGAAUUUGGCGUGUCUGUAUGGAUUAUAUUGAUGCCACAUUAAGACAUAUGACGCCUUCAUCGCGUCCUAACACUACUACUCCAACCUUUCCUAACGCAGGAACCUCGCCCUGCAGCCCGGCCACCGGUCUCCACCGCCGGCAGCCGUGGCCACCGGUCUCCACCGCCGGCAGCCCUGGCCACCGGUCUCCACCGCCGGCAGCCCUGGCCACCGGUCUCCACCGCCGGCAGCCCUGGCCGGCCCUCUGCGAGGCCUGGCCUGUUAGACACUGCGGGAGCAUCUUUGGUGAAGCCUCAACGCUCAGAAACCCUCGUUUAAAUUUGUAAAACCUUGAUUUUAUUUGUGAAAAUGCAAAAAGGGCGAUUUUUUCACACAUAAACCGCAUUGGACCAGGUCCAGAUAAAAACCACUAUACCUAGGCUGUCAGACUUGGACUAGAUUAUCCAGAGAGGCUAAAGAUGCUUUAACUGGUUACAACUCAUACGUUACUAAUAACGGCCCCUAUUAUUUCCCUUUAACUGUGUUUUAGCGGUUCAUACAGGAUUAACAAACAGAUUUACUAUUAAUUAAAUGACCACUAACUAAAUGCGACACAGUGAACCUGGAGCCUUCGGGGCCCCUGGCGGUCUGGGGCCCCUGGGGGUCUGGGGUUGUUUGCUUGGAUUGCGUGUCCACAAACUCAAAGAACAACUGGACAGAUGAAAGCCAAUUUUAUUGAUCAAGUAACAUAAAUAGGACAAAUGUUUCACUGUACACACAACCUGGAGACCAAAGUAAAAAUAAAUAGUGUCACAGUAAUAAAUUAAACGCAUGAAACGGACCAAUAGACUGUUAGCAUUGAGUCUGUGACACGAGACGCUGAGUCGCGUUGGUCUCUGAGGACGACAGUGCAGUUCAAUGGCUAUUUACACACAUUUUAUUUUACACGUUUUUCAUUUUCAGGAGCCGACGUUUCAUUUCACUCGUCUGUCUGCAGUUCACAUUUGUGUUUUUACAACUUCAAUAACUUCAGCAACAAUUUAAAAAACUAAGAAAAGCAAAAAGCAGCGGCUGAUUAUUAAACUUUGAGUUACAUGUUACAACAGCAUCGUCACAGCUAUCAACGUUUCUUCAAUACGAGUUCAGUAUCAAAUACUUCAGUCAGCAGGUUACAAAAAUAUCACACUUUGUUUUUUUUAAACGAGCGUCUUCAGUUCCUACAGCACCGAGCCGUCAGUGAACGCAGCAGCUCUCAACCCUCUUCAGUCCCAGAACAGGUCGACCUUUGACCCCGUGCGAGGAUGUUUUAACCCUUUCAGCCUGCUGGAAGAUGAAGAACUGUUGUUGCCAUUUAAUAUUUGGGACACUGAAUGCCACAAACUCUUGUAUCUGUUCUGUUCUCGCGUUAUUUAAAUAUAAGUUUGUAUAUAACGUGAAAAGUUUUUUUUUCGCCUAAUAUAAAAAGUCACUGAUUCUGGUUCCCGCUGAUGUCUCUUGUUUAGUUUUUAACUCCAAUAAUCAGGAUUUAUUGAUCAGGUUCUGUUAGAGAUAAUGUCGUAACGUAAACAUAACUACAAAUGGCAACACUGGACAAAAUUAUCUCGAGUCAAGGUCCACUUACAGGCUUUUACGCAUCUAGAAAGUGGACCUGGAUCAGGAUUUAUUGAUCAGGUUCUUGUUCGGUCUGUUUCAACACAGCCAGGAGACCACACAAUGCUCAAGUCUUUAUUUUAGGGUAACGAGAUGGUUAAAUUAAAUACGAGCCUCAUUUUGUAUUCGGAUCUAAAGAAAUCACGCACUCUUGGCUCCUCCAGCCUCCGAAAACAAAAUCAGUCUCUCAGAGAUUUUCCAGACUGUCGGGUUGAGAGCUGCUGAACCGAACCUCCGGUCUCAGAUUCAGACCUCAGAUCCAGAUCCUUGAGCUCUCCUUCAGUUUCAGUUUCGUGUGCGUACAAUCACAGCGGGGCGCCCGACAGCAGACGCCCCACCGGAGGUGAAGAGGAAACUAAA